rnacentral:rRNA from 1 species
UACGUAGGGGGCGAGCGUUACCCGGAUUUACUGGGCGUAAAGCGCGUGUAGGCGGCUGGUCAAGCGCGGUGUGAAAUCUCCGGGCUCAACCCGGAAACUGCAUUGCGAACUGACCUAGCUGGAGUGCAGGAGAGGGCAGCGGAAUUCCCGGUGUAGCGGUGAAAUGCGUAGAUAUCGGGAAGAACACCAGUGGCGAAGGCGGCUGCCUGGCCUGUAACUGACGCUGAGACGCGAAAGCGUGGGGAGCGAACCGG